UCAUUCCAGUUGCCCUAGCAACUCGACUGUAGGUAAAGGCUAGUCGGCAAACACACGAUCUCUCCUCACUGAGUGAGAGCCAAUGGGUGCAGCGGAUGGGUAGCUAGGGGAUGCGCAGGGAGAGGUGAAGAUUUUACUGAAUAUUCAACAGCAAACAGAAGAAAGCUCAAUGGACCAAAGUUCUUGUUCUUUAGUGGAAAGGAAUGAGUCUGAAGCCUAUGACAGCGAUGAAACUUUAAUAGAUGGUUACAUUUCUGAAAGCGAUGAAGAAGAUGCAUGGUUAUGUUAUAAGGACAACAUUUUGCCAACACCAGAAACAGGUAAGAAAAAAACAUUAGUGUAUGAUAUUUCUAUAUAGCAACCCUGCCUGUAUAAUUUUUAACUUCCCUUCCCUUCAAAAUCUAAAGUUGUUUCUAUGUCCAUGACAGAUUUAAUAUUGAAAUACUUAAUGCCUCAUGACCAUGCAGAUUUAGCAUCUGAGUGCAGAAAUGGCAAUGCCCAUGUCUAUGUCCCACCCAAGCCACAUCUUUGCAGAUAGGGGGCAAAUCAACUUUACCCCCCUAAAAAGUAGGGUGAGUUGCCAUGUACAGGAAUGUGUGAUUGAAACUGCUUUGAUCCG